rnacentral:rRNA from 1 species
UACGAAGGGGGCUAGCGUUGCUCGGAAUCACUGGGCGUAAAGCGCACGUAGGCGGACUCUUAAGUCGGUGGUGAAAUCCUGGAGCUCAACUCCAGAACUGCCUUCGAUACUGAGAGUCUUGAGUCCGAGAGAGGUGAGUGGAACUGCGAGUGUAGAGGUGAAAUUCGUAGAUAUUAGGAAGAACACCAGUGGCGAAGGCGGCUCACUGGCCCGGUACUGACGCUCAUGUGCGAAAGCGUGGGGAGCAAACAGG